GCUUACGGCACACCGGCCUGAGUACGCCUGAUCUCGUCCGAUCUCGGAAGCUAAGCAGGGUCGGGCCUGGUUAGUACUUGGAUGGGAGACCGCCUGGGAAUACCAGGUGCUGUAAGCU
ensembl:rRNA 5S_rRNA 5S ribosomal RNA